UACGAAGGGGGCUAGCGUUGCUCGGAAUUACUGGGCGUAAAGCGCACGUAGGCGGCUUUCUAAGUCGGGGGUGAAAUCCUGGAGCUCAACUCCAGAACUGCCUUUGAUACUGGUAGUCUCGAGUCCGGAAGAGGUGAGUGGAAUUCCGAGUGUAGAGGUGAAAUUCGUAGAUAUUCGGAGGAACACCAGUGGCGAAGGCGGCUCACUGGUCCGGUACUGACGCUGAGGUGCGAAAGCGUGGGGAGCAAACAGG
rnacentral:rRNA from 1 species